rnacentral:rRNA from 1 species
CCGACGGGUGAGUAACACGUAUGCAAUCCACCUGUAACAGGGAGUAACCGAGAAAUCCGGACUAAUACCCACUAAUAUGGGCGCUCCGCAUGGAGAGUUCAUUAAAGAGAGCAAUUUUGGUUACAGACGAGCAUGCGCUCCAUUAGCCAGUUGGCGGGGUAACGGCCCACCAAGGCGACGAUGGAUAGGGGUUCUGAGAGGAAGGUCCCCCACAUUGGAACUGAGACACGGUCCAA